rnacentral:rRNA from 1 species
UACGUAGGGGGCUAGCGUUGUCCGGAAUCAUUGGGCGUAAAGAGCGCGUAGGCGGCUAGAUAAGUCCGGUGUGAAAGUCACAGGCUCAACCUGUGAAUGCCGCUGGAAACUGUCUGGCUAGAGUCCGGAAGAGGAGAGUGGAAUUCCUGGUGUAGCGGUGAAAUGCGCAGAUAUCAGGAAGAACACCCGUGGCGAAGGCGGCGACCUGGUCCGUGACUGACGCUGAGGCGCGAAAGCGUGGGGAGCAAACAGG